AUGGAGUCCACCAUUUGUCGCCACUUAUUUUUCGACUUAUUUUUCAACAUAUUCUUAAGAAAAAAUUGGCAUAACCAAUGGAUUUGGUUAAUAGACCUCUUUAAAAUUCGUUGACAGGUCUUCGUUUUGCAGGCAACUACUGGGAUUGAUUUCAUGUCAAAGACAAUGUACCUUGAGGAUAUGACUCUUUCUCACCAACUAUGUAAGCCAAAAUUACUAGCUUACCUAUACGAAAGUCGUGGAAGCCCCCUUGGUCCAGUGGUUUGACUAAGGGUUCAAUUGUUUCUACACCCGGAGAUCUGGGGUUCAAAUCCCAGAAAAUACCAAAUUAUGCAGAUUAUGGAGAAACCAGUUACAUGAGAUCUUCAGUUUGGUGCAAGACGUACCAUCGAACAUGGAUCUCAUAGGAUGACUCAGAGUGGUGCAGUCAGGCGGGUAUUCUCACAGGGUGAUAGAAUUAUCAGCUGUAAAAUCGUAUUUAUAGUAUUCUCAUCAUUGUAAUAGCAUAAUUAAUCGAUAACUAUCUAUACGAAAGUCACCAAAAAAGAAAAAUUAAAUCUAAUUAUUAAUCUAAAUCUCAAAGUUAUAUUAU